CUUGCUGAUGCUCCCAGUGCGGUAGCUUGUGAUGCCUCAGCUCACAAUGUUCUUGAGUCCUCUUAAAAACGUGAAACACCUUCCUGCUGGAGGUGCCCACCCGCAGAGCAGCAAGGCCUCUUCCUAGCUUUGUUGUCCAAGAUGAAGAUGAGCAGGACACAGCAUACAUGGCGUUCCCUAUUAGAAGGAAGAAAUCUUCCACCUUCCAGAAACCUGAUAUUUUGGACCAGAUCCCUCUCUGAACAGGUUGUAUGCUGCCCUUUUCAGAAUCAAGCUAUCAGAAGAUGCCCUUCAGCAGAAGUGUUAAGAGGACUUGUAUAAAGGAAGGUGCAUGCUCAAGAAUUGCUAUCGGAUCAAGUUGCUGAAGAUGACAAGUCACUAAUGGAAUAGCAGAAAUGUUUUGAGGAGCAGUAUCUGCCACCCUCUCUUCUGUACUAACCACCGACAGCUGGAGACCAGGCAGCAGAAAGGC
rnacentral:lncRNA from 1 species